UAGGGAAUCUUCCACAAUGGGCGCAAGCCUGAUGGAGCAACACCGCGUGAGUGAAGAAGGGUUUCGGCUCGUAAAGCUCUGUUGUUGGAGAAGAACGUGCGUGAGAGUAACUGUUCACGCAGUGACGGUAUCCAACCAGAAAGUCACGGCUAACUACGUGCCAGCAGCCGCGGUAAUACGUAGGUGGCAAGCGUUAUCCGGAUUUAUUGGGCGUAAAGCGAGCGCAGGCGGUUGCUUAGGUCUGAUGUGAAAGCCUUCGGCUUAACCGAAGAAGGGCAUCGGAAACCGGGCGACUUGAGUGCAGAAGAGGACAGUGGAACUCCAUGUGUAGCGGUGGAAUGCGUAGAUAUAUGGAAGAACACCAGUGGCGAAAGCGGCUGUCUGGUCUGCAACUGACGCUGAGGCUCGAAAGCAUGGGUAGCGAACAGGAUUAGAUACCCUGGUAGUCCAUGCUGUAAACGAUGAGUGCUAGGUGUUGGAGGGUUUCCGCCCUUCNNUGCCGGAGCUAACGCAUUAAGCACUCCGCCUGGGGAGUACGACCGCAAGGUUG
rnacentral:rRNA from 1 species